rnacentral:misc_RNA from 1 species
GAUGAAGAACGCAGCGAAAUGCGAUAAGUAAUGUGAAUUGCAGAAUUCAGUGAAUCAUCGAAUCUUUGAACGCAUCUUGCGCUCCUUGGUAUUCUGAGGAGCAUGCCUGUUUGAGUGUCAUUAAAUUCUCAACUACACUGACUUUGAAUUGGUGUGGCUUGGAUUUGGGUGGGAAAAUUGUUGUGGGCUUUUUGUAUAGUCUGCUCCCCUGAAAUUGAUUAGCGGUACCUUUGUGGAACUGUCUACAGGUGUGAUCAUUAUCUACAUCCUAGACAUCUGCUGGAAUGCUGCUUUCUAAACCUUACUUGUAUUGACAAUCUUGACCUCAAAUCAGGUAGGACUACCCGCUGAACUUAAGCAUAUCAAUAAGCGGAGGA